rnacentral:lncRNA from 1 species
CACCUAAGUUCGGUGUGGCCACCAAGUCCUCUUGGUACAGGAUACAGCCACCUCUGUCCUCUGGCAUAUUCCACCUGCAGGAGGAGCAAGUCUUCCCAUCCUCAGUUCCUUGACAAAUGUCAAAGUGCUGAAGGGUCACUCCUCCCUCCAGACUUCCUGACUACUGGGGGAGUCCCUUGGGAUGAACUGAAUGAGCAGCAGUGGGAGUUUGUCACCACUAUCAUGAGUAAUAGAGUUUACUUUGGGUUUUUUUGUUGUUUUGUUUUUUUUUAAAUAGAGCUUACUUUGGAGCUGCUGCUUUCUGCUUCUUGACCAGAGUAUCCUAUUCAACACAUCAGGCCAAACUUCAGGCAGCCAUCUUAACACCCGAUGCUUCUGGCCAACAAAUAGUCCCAACUGCACAUUUUCACAAAUUCUUGAGCCACUGACCCUUUGGGUAAAGGACUCUGGGAAAUUCUUGCUUCACAGAUACCCCAAGUAUAAAUCAGUAGUGGUGAACCUAUGGCACACACGCCCCAGCCAGCUGUUUGAUAUCAUUGAAGACUCUAAAAGGUACGCCAUCACUGCUAUAAAUCAAGACCACAGAUGUCUCUGUGUAUACUCAGGUCACAAAAGAUGCCUCAACAAGAUUAUCCUCAACCUAGCCUGAGUUUCAGGUGUUACUAAUAGUGACCAAGGCAUUGAUGGCCUUAAGCCUCAUACUACCUCUUCUUGUGCACAUAUCUGGACAGGUACUUAGGCCUGGGUGCUCCCCAUGGCUCAGGUGCAAUUCAUGCCAUGCAACUCCCUUGCUGUACUUAGAAGCCCUCACACUGACCCCACCUCCAGCCCAGCCUCCUGUCCUUGCUCUCUCAAGCCAUUUUGGACCUGUGCAAAGGCCUGUUGAACUCUUCCCCAGAGACCUCAACUAUGUCAGUAAACUUUCUGAUAGAAAGACCUGCAAAGGAAUUUUAAGCUUUUAAUCAAACUACUACUAAUAAUAUUGGCCUUGUUACACUGACAUAUAAAAGUAAUGAAAUAAAUAAUUUCAUGGUAAAAUAAUGAGGAUCCAAGAUGUGUAAUAUAAGAAAAAAAAGAGACAGUAAUAACAACAAAUAACCAUCUAGCCCUAAAUUUGAAUUAGAAAUAUCAUUGCAAACUUAUAAUGUACUUUGAUAUUUUUUAAAUUACCAUGCUUCAGAGUAAACAAAUAAUUGAUUUGGGGAAGUUUGACUUUAUACAGUUAUUCCCAUAAAUCCUGAAGAAAUAACUAGUAACAGAAUGUCACCAUCUUACGUGUUAUGAUUUGAUCUGAAAUGUUCCCCCCAAAGUGGGAAGGUGGUUGGAUCAUGGAGGUGCUUUACUCACUGGUGGAUUCAUCAACUGGUGGCUGAAGUGGCUGAGCAUGCUGUUGGAAGGUGGAGCCUGGUCAGAAGAGAUGGGUCACUGGGGUCAUGACCUGGAAGGAUAUAUCUCCCUCCCCAGCUCCUCCUUUAUCUCUCUGCUUCCAGGUUGCCAUGAUAUGAGCAGCUUUUUUCUGCCCAGACCUUUCCAUCAUGCCAUUUCUGCAUUGCAGCCAGCUGACUAUGGACUGAAUCUUCUAAAACCAUGAACUUAAAACUCCUCCUUUAAGUUGUGGUGUCAGUUUGCAGGAAAUUCGAGGGACAGAAGGAUUCCAAGCAAACAGCAUAAUCACAAAUACGACAAACUUUACCAUAUGAGCUUACAGCUAAGAGUUUGCCUUGAAUCUCAGAGGAGACUGGACUUGUCAACAGUGCUGACUUUGACAAUCCUUAGAGAUGGACUAAAUGAAUUUUUGCAUAAUGAGAUGGACAUUACCCUUUUGGGGGCCAGGGUCCAGAAAGCUAUGGUUUAGAUCUAAAAAGUCCCCCCAACAUCUCAGGUACUCAGGUGUAAGGCUUUUGGAAGGUGAUUGCUCAGUCAUAGGGGCACUACAUUUAUCAGUGGACUAAUGCAUCGAUGAGCUCAUGACUGAAUUUGCUGUUAGGAGGGGAGCCUGGUUGGAGGUAGGUCACUGGGGGCAAGACCUGGAAAGGUAUAUUAUUGUCCCCAGCUCUUUCCUUCUGUCUCUGCUUCCUGGCAGCCACAGAUUGA